UGGUAUUGAUGGUAAGCUGGUUGGAACCGAGGAUGCGGACGAAAGGGGAGGGGGGAGGUCGAUCGGCGAAGAUGGCCCCGUGCUGGACGAGCAUCUUAUGGGCGAGAUCCCGGUCGGCGACCAUGAUGAUCGGAUGGGAGCCGAGGUGGAUUGUCACGACGGGGCCGUACUUGGACCAGAGCUCCCCGAGGAGGGAUUCGAAGUCGGCGGCAGAGCGGGUGAGCCACAUGAGAUUGCCGAUGAUGGGUAUGGCCGGCGGGCCGGGCGGUAAACCCCGGCGCGGCUUCCGGAGGAAGAGGGAGGCCAGGGCCAGGCAGAAGAAGAGGGUGAAGACGCCAACGCCCCAGCGAUCCAUAUCCGCUGCGCUUUGGCAAGUUCCAGAAAGUCGAGGGCUCCUUUCAUUUAUAGAGGGAACUCUGUACACGCUAGCUGAGGUACGUCCCAACUUCCACACGGUAAAUACGCCUGCGUGAUAGCUGAGAAAAGCGUGGUACCGAAUUUCUACAUUUAUUCGUCAAUUGCCUCAUCGCUCAGAGGCAAGACGGCGAUCGGCAGAUGGCGCAGCCAUCGGGACCACUUCGGCCUAUGAUUAAAGAAGGCCAGAAUAAAUAAGAUAAUCGCGAUUAUUUAUUUAGAAGAUAAAGGGACCAUGAUCGUCCACUGGGCUCCAAAUUCUGGUCCACACAGAUAACGACACAUAUUCCCAACUCUUUGUAAUCAUUACUUUGAAAAGAAUAUUAUCUCUCAUGAUAUGUCACACCAUUUUAUGAGGGAAUGCCUUUAAAUCUUCAUAAUUACUCAUAGAAUUAACAAGGGUUACUGCCCCCCCAAUUAAUGUAAUUAUCAGCCUAUCCACCCAUCACGAUGAGACACACCUAUAUGUAUGCAACCCUUACAUGUUCUACAUGUGUCAUGUUGUGUCUAAGUUAUGCCACAUGUGCCAGUUCACAUUCAAUGUAUAUAUUUCACCUAUGAGGUUCAUAGAUGCCUUCCAUGAAUCACACAUAGGGUUCGCUGAUCAUCAUUGAUUAUUGAUCUGAUAAGAAUGAUCGAUCAUGUGAUCACAAUAUUAUAUUAUUAUAUUAUACUAUGCCUAAAUAUUAUAUAUAAAUAUCUAAUAUGUAUAUUAAAUAUUUAUAUAUGUAAAUAUUAUAUAUAACUAUGUAUAUGAUACAUAUAUUAAAUAUAUGUAAAAAUAUUACAUAUAAAUAUAUAUAAAUUGAUACACUACUAUAGAUACAUUAUUAUAAUGUAUAUUUAUAUAUAGGCCUAAGUCUAAUAUACUAGUAUAUAUACAAUAUGUAUAUGAAAUAUAUAUACAUAAAUAUUGCAUAUAUAUAUACUACUAUAUAUACAUAGGUGUAAUAUAUAGCUAUAUAUUACACCUAAAUAUUAUAUAUAAAUAUGUAUCCACUAUAUACAAUGGAUCUCCAAGAGCGAGAGGAGAGAGAGAGACAAUAGUGCUAAAGUUAGUGACAACAAAGUCGAUCUUCAAUGGGAGGAGAGAGAGGUGACAGCCGGCAAGAGUGGGAGCAGGAGUCAAGAGAGAGAGAGAAAUUUAAUCUCUCUUGUAGAUAUUGAAUCCUAACCGUUGGAUGAUAAAAAGUAAUCAUCCAACAGAUAGGUCAAUUGUGGGCUGAGUCAUGCCGUCCUAAAUAUGUAAAUAUAAAUUUAGUAUAGGUAUCAUAUAUUUAUAUAUAAUAUUUAGGUAUCACUCAAUUAUAUAAUAUAAUAAUAUUAAAUGACAACAAUCACCUAAACAUGAUGAAUCAGAUUGUUGAUCACGACAAUCAAUGAUCACUAUCAACGAGUUUAUCUAAUUAGAUCAUCAAUCAUUCUGAUUGGAUCGAUGAUUGAUAAUGAUCACAAUACCCUAAUGUCAUGUUAUAGAGGAUGGGGAGGGAGGGCAAGACAAGGUAGAGGAAGAGGUUGAGGAUGACAAAUUCCCAAGUUUCCCUAUCCACUUCUCUCUUAGAGAGUUCAAAAUUGUUUGAGAGGUUGUUUCAUUUAUAAUGGAGGGGAAGCACCACCUUGGAUUGUAGUACAAAGUAGACAUAAUUCUUGGUCACUCUUCUCAUUACUUGGAGUUGACAUCACUAGGUUUAAGUCAGUGCCACCUAGGACUUGGUGGCCCUUAACAGCACCAGUCAGCCUUCACUAUGCAUGGACAAUUUUUUUCACCCAAAGUGACGUAUAAUAUGAUCCACUCAAGAAUACAUGGACAAGGAAAUCUAGUAUGCCUUCCAUACUCAAAUGCAUCAUCAUUUGUUGGGGACUUGGUCAAUGUUCAGCACAUAUGGACGACCUUUUUCAUUCAAGCAUACAAGUCUAGUUUGCCCUUUAUUCUCAAAUUGAUGCAGGAUGGAAUGAUGAAAGACUAAACUACCUUAAAGUAACAACCUAAACUCGACUCUUAUGUUAGGCCUAUAUAGUCUAAGAGGGAAGAUCAGUUUAGGAUUGAGUAUUCCUACAAUAUUUGAAAAAAGUAACAUUGAUGCCAUUAAAGAAUUGCCAAUGAUUAUCAGCCUUGAUAUUCACAUUAGUAAAAUUAAAUCAUUAAAUAAGCAUUUCACAAAAAAGAUAUCCAAAGAAAAUAACUUUGAUGUAAUGAGUUAUAAAAUUUAUUUUACCAUUUUUCAUAUAAUCUCAUUGUGUUUGACAUUGAUUAAUAUGAUAUUUUUAAUUAUUUUUCAAUGAUUAAAAACCAUCUAGUCACCCGGUUCAAACCAACUGCCCUCUUUGGGUUAGAGCCCUUGACGACAUUCACCAUGAUCCACUCCAGUGCAGUGGAGGUGGAUUUAGAGCCGGAGGCGAGGAACUUGGAGUAGAAGGAGAUGACCUCCUCGUUGUUGAGCUUCCUCCCUCACUCUUCUUGGAUCUCGAGGUCGAGGAGGGAAUCCAAGUAGGAGUAGCGGAUGCUGUUCUCACCUGCAACCAUAGAUUCCUUUUGUUGGCACCGAGAGCCGAUCAGUGGGAGGAAAAUCUCCAUCUGCCGCUGCCGGAGUUGGAGUAGACGGUUCCACUAUGAACUGAAUAAGUAGCUAACAACUUUGGGAUGAACUUUAGGAGAAUAAGAUUCCCCAGAAAGUGUACAAUGUCCCUCUACACAGCCACGAUAUCUCUCGCGGUCACCUCCUCGAUGUUCUCUGUAAAGCAGAGAAGGACGAGCGGGUAGAAGAUGACAAACUGGAAAGUCUCCUUGGCAGCCACAACACUGUUCUUGGACGUCACUUCGAUGUGCAGCAUGUCGAGUACAACGUCUAGGACCAACUCACGAGAAUUGGCACACUGCCUACUUACGAGGUCGUAUCAUUUAUAACGAAGGCAAAGUGCCUCCCCAAAAAGGACUACAGUCCACAAGAGAGAAUUCUCGAUCACUCUUCUCAUCGCUUGGGGUCUGAGUCACCCGGUUUAAGUCGGGGCCAUGUCAGACUUGGUCACCCUAAUGCAUGGACUACUUUUCAACCUUCUCAGUAGGCUUCACCGUGCGUGGAUGACUUUUAUCACCCAAUGUGGCGUGUACUUUGAUCCACUCAAUGAUACACGGAUAGGGAUAUUGGACGUGGCUCAUCAAAUGGCCACAUUCAUGUCAGCUCAAAGGGCAGUAGAGAAGACCCCAUUUAAUGCGGAGUAGAGAGAGAGAGGAGAGAGAGAAGACGAGACGUUUGAAAUGGCCCAUGAUGUGGACCACUUCUCAUGCCCCUCAAAUGGCCUAGUAACGGGCAGGCCGAACUAGGGAGAAAUGGUUCAGCUAAAUCAUUCCAGCUUCAAUGAGGAAACGGUUUACACAUUUCCUGAGGAGUUAUUGGCAUGUUUCCCAAGGCAUCUCUUCUCAUCUUAUAACAUCGGUGACCAGAGGGUACCAUAGGGUUGGGAGUGAGUUUCCAAUAGAGUGAUCUCUAUAUGUUGGUGAGAGACUAAUGAGUUUUUUGAGGGCCAAGAUUAGAGAUCUAUAUUCUAGGUUCUGGAGAGUGUUCUUCUGUACAUUUUACAUCUUGUGGAGCUUUUCAUCGCUGCCCGUGGACGUAGGAGGUUGACCUCUGAACCACAUAAAUUUUUGUGUCUCUGGUUAUGAGUUGUUCAUUUUAUUUAUGUCCUCUAGCUUCCGCGCUAAGUCUAUAUUGAGGUUUUAUCUCUAACUACUAAUAUCAUAGCUGUAGUUUUUGUUAGUAAUUAUAGAAACAUAAAAUAUUUAUUACAUGAUCAACUUGAAUGAGAACAAUUAGAUAAUAUAGAAACCAAGAAUGGAAGAUCUUCUGUAUUGUAAAGACCUAUAUGAACCCAUGCAAGGAGAUAGUGCAAAACCAGAGGUGACAUCAGUUGAUGAUUGAAAAAGACUAGAUCAGAAGACUAUUGGCUUCAUCAGGCAAUGGCUUCAUGAUAGUGUUUUUCACCACGUAUCUAUAAAGAACUCUGCACAUUCUCUUUGGAAGAAGCUAGAAAGUUUUUACGAGAGAAAAACAGUAAGUAACAAAGCAUUCUUGAUCAGAAAGCUUGUGAAUCUGAAGUACAAGGAGAGAUCUUUUAUUGUUGAGCAUUUGAAUGAAAUAUAGAGUAUUAUUAAUUAAUUAACCUCUAUGGAGAUGUGUCUUGAUGAUGAGUUGUAGGCACUAUUACUUCUCAAUUUGUUGCUAGAUAGUUGGGAGACAUCGGUGGUGUCUCUCAUCAAUUCUACGCUAGAUGGUGUUGUCACCAUGAGUCAAGUAAUAAGCAACUUACUCAAUGAAGAGUUGAGACGGAAAAACUCAACUAGUUCUCAUAGUGAAACAUAAGCAGUCAUCACAGAAAAUAGAGAGCAGUCAAAGUCAAGAGAUAAAAGUUACUUCAAAGGUAGAAGCAAGUCAAGAUCAAGGAAGGAGAUCAUUUGUUAUAAUUGUGGUGAAAAAUGACAUUUCAAGAAUCAGUGUAAGUAACCCAAAAAUAACAAGAAAAAGAAAAAAGNNNNNNNNNNNNNNNNNNNNUAGACAAUGAAGAAUCAAAAGGGAACACCGUGGCCAUUAUUCAAAGUGGUGAAUAUUUGAUUUUAUCUACUACUGAUGAGAUUUUUCCUUAUGUUAGCAAAUAUUCAGAAUGGAUCAUUGAUAUAAGAGCCUCAUAUCAUGUCGUACCAAGGAGAGAGUACUUUGCCAAGUACAAAGCUAGAAACUUGAGAAUUGUCAAGAUGGGCAACAAAAGGAUAGCAAACAUUAUUAAUAUUGGUGAUGUUCACAUUAGGACCAAUCUUGGUGGACCCACUUGCGAGCAUCGGCGCACUGCCUGACGCGCGAAGGAUUGAGCAUCUCCGUCGCGAGGUUGCGGCGGAGAAGCUGCCACAAAGGGCCGUAACCGGCGCUACUGAUGCUGUACUGGUUAGAACUGACAAUGCGGACGGCAGCGGAGGGGGGAGGUCGGUGGGCGAAUACGGCCCCAUGCUGGACGAGCAUCUCGUGUGCUUGAUCCCGGUCGGCGACCACGAUGGUCGGGUAGUAGCCGAGGUGGAUUGUCACGACGGGGCCGUACUUGGACCAGAGCUCCCCGAGGAGGGAUUCGAAGUCGGCGGCAGAGCGGGUGAGCCAC
rnacentral:lncRNA from 1 species